CUGCUGCCUCCCGUAGGAGUUUGGGCCGUGUCUCAGUCCCAAUGUGGCCGUCCGCCCUCUCAGGCCGGCUACUGAUCGUCGCCUUGGUGGGCCGUUACCCCGCCAACCAGCUAAUCAGACGCGGGUCCAUCCCGUACCACCGGAGUUUUCAAGAAAGGAACAUGCGUCCCCUUCUGUUAUGCGGUAUUAGCACCUGUUUCCAGGUGUUAUCCCCCGGUACGGGGCAGGUUCCCCACGCGUUACUCACCCGUCCGCCACUAACGGCCCGCGCCUUCCGGGUCUGGUAAACCA
rnacentral:rRNA from 1 species